rnacentral:rRNA from 1 species
AUUGAACGCUGGCGGAAUGCUUUACACAUGCAAGUCGAACGGCAGCGCGGGCUUCGGCCUGGCGGCGAGUGGCGAACGGGUGAGUAAUAUAUCGGAACGUACCCAAGAGUGGGGGAUAACGUAGCGAAAGUUACGCUAAUACCGCAUACGAUCUAAGGAUGAAAGCAGGGGACCGCAAGGCCUUGUGCUCCUGGAGCGGCCGAUAUCUGAUUAGCUAGUUGGUGGGGUAAAGGCCUACCAAGGCAUCGAUCAGUAGCCGGUCUGAGAGGACGACCAGCCACACUGGGACUGAGACACGGCCCAGACUCCUACGGGAGGCAGCAGUGGGGAAUUUUGGACAAUGGGGGCAACCCUGAUCUAGCAAUGCCGCGUGAGUGAAGAAGGCCUUC